rnacentral:lncRNA from 1 species
AAGAUAUUCUAAACCUGGGAUAGACAUUUUUCUUAAAUCACUGGUGCAAUAUGGGUAUCAAAUUGAUUCCAAAGCCAGAGAUACAGCAACUAACAAAAGUGGGAUGCAUCUACUAACUGCUAUGACUCCUGCCAAACUGGGGAAAAGAGAGAUUGAUUCUGGAGAUCCCUGCCUUGGUUUGGAGGAGACUUUUCCCCUGGAUUCAACAUCAGCUUGCUGCAUUGGUGGAAUUCUGGCUGAAGACACAACUAGAACUUCUGGGUGAGGAUUACCAGGAAAUCCACAUGGGGACAAGGGACGUGGGAAGCCCCUGUGGGGCUGAGCCUCACU